rfam:Gossypium hirsutum cultivar TM-1 unplaced genomic scaffold scaffold1924.1, whole genome shotgun sequence
GGAUCAAAUGAUGAGUCUGAAAGACCAACAACAUGCUGGAUUCAUUCCCAUGAUUCCUGCUCGUUUUUAAGUCACUGAUGAUC